rnacentral:rRNA from 1 species
GACGAACGCUGGCGGCGUGCUUAACACAUGCAAGUCGAACGGAAAGGCCCUGCUUUUGUGGGGUGCUCGAGUGGCGAACGGGUGAGUAACACGUGAGUAAACUGCCCUUGACUUUGGGAUAACUUCAGGAAACUGGGGCUAAUACCGGAUAGGAGCUCCUGCUGCAUGGUGGGGGUUGGAAAGUUUCGGCGGUUGGGGCUGGACUCGCGGCUUAUCAGCUUGUUGGUGGGGUAGUGGCUUACCAAGGCUUUGACGGGUAGCCGGCCUGAGAGGGUGACCGGCCACAUUGGGACUGAGAUACGGCCCAGAAUCCUACGGGAGGCAGCAGUGGGGAAUAUUGCACAAUGGGCGGAAGCCUGAUGCAGCAACGCCGCGUGCGGGAUGACGGCCUUCGGGUUGUAAACCGCUUUCGCCUGUGACGAAGCGUGAGUGACGGUAAUAGGUAAAGAAGCACCGGCUAACUACGUG